UUUCACUGGAAACGUUUAUUAAAGAUGCAGAGUGGAAGCUGACACAGAGGAAGGGAACUGCUCAUUAGUGGCAGUAGCUCUUCUGCACCACAGUGCGGCGCCAGAGGUUAGCACCUCCCUUAGAAGCUAGCAUGCAGGAGCAAUGUAUGCUCUAUCAAGAGACAGAGACCAGGGAACGGCUCCAUCCUCAGAUACCAGUGUAAUAGUCGCAAUAGUUACUAAUAAUAGUUAGAUAUUAAUAUGUCAUACUAUUCUUUGCACAUUUUUAUAAUAUUCAUAUUUUAUAUUCCCCUUUCUUUAAAAUGUGCAUUGCACAACCACUAGCCAUUAGUUGUGUAAUAUAUCAAUUGAGAAUCUUUGCCUAUAAAAAGUUGACUCUCAUAAUACUGUUGA
rnacentral:lncRNA from 1 species